ACAGCUGGAAACAAGUUGGUAUAAUGAAUCAGAAGCAGAUGUAUGGCCCAAUGAUAAUGCAGCAUAGGCGGGACAAGGCAAACUCAGCUGAACCCAAUGACUUGACAAAUCCGUCCUCAUGCAAGAUGACUUAACACAUUCUUCUGGGGCAGGAGACGGGUGAUGCAGACGGGACUGUGUAAGGCAGCCAGACACGCACUUGUUUCCAGGCGCUUGCCAUGGAAACAUUAGCUUGAGAUGUUCGAGUGAGGCCUCCUUACAGGGUGAUUCCUUCUGGCCUGCUUACCUUGGGCAAGCAUUCCCCCACACUGUAACUGUCUGCUAAAGGAAUGAUUGCAUAAUGGAGGAAUGAGAAACAUUUCCUCUUCCUGCUGUCAGCAAGAAAGAAUUCCACCCACUUUCUAGUGCCCCAGAAGCAGAGGGGAGGGAAGGGUCCGAUGAAACAUAGACACACAGAAAAAAAAGACAGACUACUAAUGAAAAAGAGUGUUCUCUACAUGGUGCUUGACAAGUGCACUCUAAUUUUUCUCCUGGAAUUAUCUAUUAUUUUCCAUCUGUUAUUUAAUAUUUCUAAUAAAGUGAUACAGUUAAAAAGGGAAAAGAAAAGGUGUGAGCCCUUAGACCUACCAACUUUGACAACUAUUUUAUAGUGUGCAUUCAUUUGCAUAACUGGGGAUGUCACAGAAAUAAAUAUGUUCUUUCAUUAACAUUCAA